CCCUGUCUCUCCCUUAGUUCAAGGGGGUCAGCUGUCAGCGUCCCUCACCUCACCCAUCAGCAAAAGGGUCUUCACAGAGCCCCCUCCCCACCAGCCAUUUCCUCUUUUCGUCUCCUCAUUGCUAGGAGAAGAAGCAAAGAUGUCAAGGGCCGGCCGAUGCUCCAUGGCUUGUUCAAGGGCGGCUUCAACUCAGCUGCGAAGCAGAAGCACCUGGGGAACCUUCUAGGAAUACUGAUGCUCAUGCCCACUCAGGAACCACUGAAUCAGAAUCUCUGAUGUCCUGGGACCUGCAGGAGCUUAUUCAAACUUCCCAGAGUUAAACGCAAUCAUCAGGGCGAAUGAAGAUGCCUUUUAGCACAGGCUCUGCAGUCACUCAGUCCUGGGCAUUUGGACCCUGGCUCAACCCCUUAGCCUUGUAUGGAGACACAAAAGGCCCCCUUUGAUGGCCUCAAUCACCAACAGCUUCCCUGACUCAGCAGACAGAGAGGAGAGGAACACCCAGCUGAGUCAUUUCUCAUCUAACCACAUCUCUCAACUGGUCGCGCCACCCCCCCACCCCCGGCCAAGUCCCAGCAUUUUUGAAACCCUGAAUUGUAUCUGGGUUGACAAUCAAUAAAGCUUUUAAAAACAGAGAUGGCUCUUAUUCUGGAGAGUUCUAAGUGCUGAUGAGCAGAGCUAAAAACGUGGAAAAAAAAUUAAUGACCCUCAACUAUG